rnacentral:rRNA from 1 species
GACGUAGGGCGCGAGCGUUGUCCGGAUUUAUUGGGCGUAAAGAGCUCGUAGGCGGCUUGUCGCGUCGUCCGUGAAAACCCACAGCUCAACUGUGGGCUUGCGGUCGAUACGGGCAGGCUAGAGUUCGGUAGGGGAGACUGGAAUUCCUGGUGUAGCGGUGAAAUGCGCAGAUAUCAGGAGGAACACCGAUUGCGAAGGCAGCUCGCUGGGACGUAACUGACGCUGAGACGCGAAAGCGUGGGGAGCGAACAGG